CAAACUGCCCUCCUGUCCCCGAUGCCUGACCAGCCAAACUGGGCCUCAUGUUCCCAUGAAAAAAGCACACCCUCCUGUAUGAGGAUCAGAGGGCAUGGGGUGGGAUUGAAGGCUGGGGCCCAGGAAUGGCCCCACAGCACUGUUCGGCCAAAUCUGGACAAAUUGGUCCAUAGGAGGCACAGAAAACGGGGUCUCUGCCAGGAAGCACCCCACUGGCCUCAGACUGCAGAGACAGCACCCAGGUUGAGGGCUGGAGCUUCUGGGCUGGCUGUGUUUGGCUAUAUGUGAUGGGGCUGUACCCCAGACAUGGCCCAGGAAAGCCACCUGCUAUCGGAGGACCUCCCUGCUCAUGGGAAAGGGGAGGCUAAGCCCAGAGCCAGCAGCAGGCAUGGGAGGCAAGCAGCCCCAGGGCAUCUGUACAGGGCCUGGGCUGGCUGGAGGACGCUAGGCUCAGGAGGUGGGCAGGACCAAGCCCACAGCCCCACCUGCAGCCAGGCCCAUUGAGUCAGCAGCCCUCCUGCACCAAGGUUCCUGGCCCCGCACCCAACCUCAGGCGAGGCCCUCUCUCCUUGGGCGUGCACAGGCACCUCCACCUCAGGAUGUGUGGGGAGCUCACUACCCCAUUUGACAAAUGCCCUCAAAGCAAACACACUUUCCCACACAGAGUUGCUUUGAUUAAAAACAAAACCACCACCAGUAAAAACAGCACGUGAGAGCCUGAAACAAAAAAACAAGUAUCAGACCAGCUCUGGACGCUUUCAACACCAACUCUGAGAAAAGGAGAACAAAAAGAGAAGAGAUAAUUACUGAAAUAAGC
rnacentral:lncRNA from 1 species